CACAGGCUGCCCAGGGAGGUGGUGCAGUCACUGUUCCUGGAGGUAUUUAAGAGCCGUGUGGAUGUGGCACUGAGGGCUGUGGUCAGAGAUACAAAGCUGCGUGUUUACAAAGACUGCAAUAAAAACCCUCCUUUCCCCACGUUUUUUGCUGAUGGAGAUGAAAAACUACCAGAAGACUUGUAUGACCAGGACAUGUUCCAGUUCACAGAUCCAUCGGUCACAUAUGCAUAAUGUUUUUGACACCUUUGAAAACGCAGAAUUUUGUUAUUUUCAUCAACUUUGCAAUGCUGUAUUAAAGUAAACCAAUGAAUUCCAAUCCAACCAACUGACCCGGACAUUUCAUAUAGUGCUGUUUUGGUCAGGUAAAAACUUAAGACUAUUGAUAAAUCAGCAGGUGACAGGCUGCAAAGCUUAUCACCUGUUUGUCUUCAGUGAUCUUUUGUCCUGUGCCACAGACUGUGAAAACUGUCACAUUUCUGGAAACAAUUGGAGAUGGCCUUAGUUUGAUCUUCUGAAUACUACCAAACUGGUUUUGUCCUCUGUGGAAACUAAUCUGGCCAACUCUGAUCAGUCAAAAAAAACCUUUCCGAUGUGCUUUAGCAUCUGAGGGGGUGAAUAAAUCAGAUGCAAAUCCAACUUAGUAAAGAAUAGUUCAGAAUAAAAAGGGAAAAUAUAUUGAUCUGUAGCAACCUGGGCUUGUUUUAUUUCCUUCUUUUCAUCAGAGCAAUUUCCUUUCGCUUUAAUGUUGUUCUGAGUUGAAUUAGCAGAUACCCAUCAAGUUUCAUAGAGGAGGGAUCAUGUCAACCAUUGUCUGUCUUCUUCUAGAGCGCCUACAGUGUGUAUGGUAAGGAGCUGUUCAGGUGGGAAACACUCAGUAACAAAGAAUCACUAAGACUGCAGUGGCCACCUGUUGGCCACUUUCACUGAUAGCUUCUUCACAGAGGCUCCCUUGCAUGUUCUCUGGAGUCACAUCACUGCAUCUACAGUAGUCUCUGCCUUGGAUUCUUGUGGUGUUACGGGAGAGCCUUCAUAAAACAGGUCGAAUGUGAAGGAUUUCUCUUUAUGCUAAUGAUUAUUUUUCUCCUACUCUACCUUUUAAUAGUGGGCUUCUGUACACUCCUUUUAUUCUUCAUGUGAUUUUCUGUUUAUAAGUCUGGUCUUCUGGACGCUGUAAAUCCUCUCAUGUACAGAAGCAGGUGUCUGUGUAACUGUCAGGGUGCCAUCUGAACGUUUAUUUACAAGCCCUACAGUAGUUAAAGAAUUUACAUCUCUUGAGCUACUAUUAAUAUUUUAGUAGUGCUGUCUGUUCAUCUUUGCAGCUUCAUUGCAAGAUGUCACAUACCUUAAAAAAAUCCUUACUGAUACCAAUAUAAAAGGGAUGUUCUUGUCUUUAUGAAAUCUCUGCCAGUCCCUGAGGUUAUUUUGAAUUUUUUGUAAUAGCUUGAAGAAAUCCCAUGCUAUCUUAAAAGAGGCUUUAUAUAGCUACAGCAAUGAAAUAGUCUGAGAGAGAUCAUUGGAGACCGAGGUAUGAAAAUGUGAUCAGGUAAAUGUCUACAUUCUGGCAAUACUCUCUUAGUUGGAUUCAGCCAAAUUUAAAAUCAAAUAUCUGAUUUAAUCAGCAUACACAAUAACAGCAUUCCCCUUCUGCUGCCCCUUCAGUAACAGUGGCUCUGCAAGUACAGGCAUCUCACAGCACAUGUGAUGCAAUAACCCAUACAGUGUAGCAAACAAGCAGCAGUAUGCAAUGUUUUGGCUGCAAUGCUAGCAGUGAGUGCAGUCUGUCACACGUACAGGAUAGUUGUUAUUUCCUGAAGAGAUCUUUGAUCUUCCAUCUCCUGAUAAUGCAGCAGAGUUUAGAAGUUGCAGCAUUUCAAUACUUGCUGUCAAACAUGUGUAGAUCAGGAGCUUUCCAACUGCCUAGUUUGUGUCCUGCUCUGGUUAACAAAAUAAUUCUGGUGCACACAAACUCUGCAUGAGGAGAUCACUUCAUGCCUGUAUGGAAACAGCAUAGCAAGUACAGGAGAGCUGUGAGUAUCGUGCAGGACGCUGUUGGGCUGGGCUUGCACUGCUGCUAAAAAGGGGAGGAGGGAGGUGGUAGGGAGCUGCUUGCCUGGGGCGGGAGUCAAAGCCCUGGAGCUACUCCUGGGAGCUGCUUAAUAAGUCUCCAGGGUGUCAUUCAGUUGGUUUGUACUUAUGUUUUGUUUGUUGGUUUGUUUUUACUUGGACUUUACCCUGGACUGUCAGUGAUGAGAUCAUGACACAGAAAUAUACGUUCUCCUACUUAGUUCCUCAGCCAAAGGUUCCAGGACUGUGAGAUUCUCUCCAGUACUUCCUUAUAUUUUGAAUGAGCUUUCAGUGCUUGCCUUGGUAAACACGAAGGAUCAAAUGUGAGCUUAAAGGGUACCAUAGAUUUAGAAAAAUAAAUGUGAAUUCAAAUGAGACUUCAACAUGAGGAGAAUGUUGGCAACCUGCUUCAGUUGCUGUUUCUGUUUCUCCCUAUUUGCCAUUAGUCCUCCCGUCUCUUAUGCUAAGGAAUAGGUUUCUUUUGCUCAAAAGGCAAACCAAAGGCUCUGUUGCAAGUGGAUGCCUGUGCAUACUGUUACUUUUCCAAAGAUUUAAAGUUCUCUGCUGCCAGGAAAUGUACUCAGGCAGUUACAGAAUGGUAAAAUAAAGACUCUUUGUCCGUAUUACCUGUAGACUAUUAAAGAAGGAGCAGAACAUGUUACCAGGAAAAAGACCGUGAUUGUGAGUAGAUCUAUUGACUGCUCUACUUUCUUGCCAUCUCAGCAGGAAGCCUACUGUGCAGCAAUUCUUAGAUAUCCUGGCAAAACAAUCCUAUACACCAGUAUGCUCCCUGGGGAUUCAGUUGUGCCCAGACUUGGGGACAAAGGCAGAUUGCAGGCAAUUUAUUUCAUCCUUAGCCUGUUAUCUGUAUCCAUUUGUGACUGAAAGGACUGUUGAUUUAGCUCUGAGCCUCAUGUCCACUGUUGCUUGCUGGGGGAGGAGGGGAGGAGGGAUAAGCAUCAGCUGUAUCCAUGACGGCAUGGCGUGACUGCUUUGAAAAAUAAAUACUCUUGAUUAAUAACCCCUCUCAGUGGUUCUGUAACAGUACAUGAAUAAACAGUGGCAAGCAUACAAUAUAAGUUGAAGG
ensembl:lncRNA